CGGUGGAGGUAUAGUGGUUUAAUUCGUACGCAACGCGCAGAACCUUACCUGGUCUUGACAUCCCGGGAAUCUUGUGGAAACACGAGAGUGCCUCGCAAGAGGAGCCUGGAGACAGGUGCUGCAUGGCUGUCGCCAGCUCGUGCCGUGAGAUGUUGGGUUAAGUCCCGCAACGAGCGCAACCCCUAUUGUUAGUUGCCAUCAUUCAGUUGGGCACUCUAGCGAGACUGCCGGUAAUAAACCGGAGGAAGGUGGGGAUGACGUCAAAUCAUCAUGCCCCUUAUGACCUGGGCUACACACGUGCUACAAUGGUUGGUACAACGAGUUGCGAGUCGGUGACGGCGAGCUAAUCUCUUAAAGCCAAUCUCAGUUCGGAUUGUAGGCUGCAACUCGCCUACAUGAAGUCGGAAUCGCUAGUAAUCGCGGAUCAGCACGCCGCGGUGAAUACGUUCCCGGGCCUU
rnacentral:rRNA from 1 species